rnacentral:rRNA from 1 species
AUGGAGGCGGCGGAGGAACCCCACGCCUCCGACUCGUCCGUCUCCCCUAUCGGCGUCGACGCCCCCGCCUCCAACCCGGUUGUCGCCGCCGGCGCGAGGAAGCGGAAGGCCCCGGCAGCGACUGCGAGGAAGCCUCGGAAGCAGCAGGCUCAAGAACCCAUUCAGAUCCCUGUAUACUACGGACAAAGAGAAGAGUUUUAUUGCGUGAAAGGCGAUGAUUUAGUUGAUUGUUCAUACAUUUCUCCUAGAGCAAAAGAUUGUGCACAUGUAAUCGGCCAACUACCGCCGCAGCCGCAGUCGAUGUCGUUGGUGGAUCUACAGCUCUGGAUCUUUAAGCUGUUCCGGCUCCAUCCAGAAACACAAGAUCUCUCUAUUAAGGGGUUCAUCAAACAACGCAAAACUGACUUGUUGGACGACUUUGAACCUGACUGGUAUAUGGAGUACUGCCCUUGGGACACAUGUUACUUUCAAACUGACAAGUGCUGGAGUGCCUUUGCCAAUAAAUUAAAGCGGAAAAGGAAUGUGAUGCAAAAGUUCAUGCUGUAUGCAGAAUGCUCUGAGAUCAAGCAUUAUGCUAUUUUGCUCAAAGCCGUGCAUGAUGAUUACUCUCAGUUGGCAAGGGUUGUGUUUCCUGGGACAAAAUGCCUGACAACUUCUAACUUCCGCUUCCUCCGCCUAGUGGAAGACCUGUCAAUGACACCUAAGGAAAUUAUAGCUUAUCUCGCUAAACACUAUGGCGAGCAGAUGAGCCCCCCUGAGGCGUGGAGGGCAAGGCAGAAGGCUCUGGAGCGUGAGUAUGGUACAUUUUACGAUUCACACAACUUUGCGCCGAGGUUACUUAAGGAUAUAACAUGUAAAACCCCUUGGGGUUUUGUAGACAUCAAGGAUGCAGAGGUUGCAGGAUGUAACAACUUUCGAGUACUCCACCGUAUAUUUUGGGCUUUUGGGCAGUGUGUGCCGGCUUUCAAUCAUUGUCGCCCUGUGCUAUGCAUUAAAGGCACACCACUAUGCGGGAAAUAUCAAGAGGUGUUGUUGACUGCUGUAGCAUUAGAUGCUAAUGGUUACUCCAUUCCAGUAGCAUGUGCCGUCGUUGAGGGGGAGACCAAGGAAAGCUGGAUGUGGUUUCUUAGGAAUUUGGAGCAAGCAGUGAGGCAUCCAUCGGAUGUUUGCAUUGUACAUGACUACAAAAGAGAGUUGAUCGAUGCUAUAGAGGACUUUCUAAGUUCCGAUCAGCAACAAUGGGGGAAAGUAGAAAGCCGGUGGUGCAUGGAACACCUUGCCGAAGACUUCUUUGCAUAUUUUGGCGACAAGAACCUGGGUUGCUGUUCAAGAAACUUUGUCAGCAGAGGCGACUAA